UCGGUCCCUAUCUGCCGUGGGCGCUGGAGAAUUGAGGGGGGCUGCUCCUAGUACGAGAGGACCGGAGUGGACGCAUCACUGGUGUUCGGGUUGUCAUGCCAAUGGCACUGCCCGGUAGCUAAAUGCGGAAGAGAUAAGUGCUGAAAGCAUCUAAGCACGAAACUUGCCCCGAGAUGAUUUCUCCCUGAGACUUUAAGUCUCCUGAAGGAACGUUGAAGACGACGACGUUGAUAGGCCGGGUGUGUAAGCGCAGCGAUGCGUUGAGCUAACCGGUACUAAUGAACCGUGAGGCUUAACCUUA
rnacentral:rRNA from 2 species